AUGCCAACGACCUCAAUCUCCAAGCCUAAGCAGGUCUGCGCCUCGCUGGCGCCUGGUAACAUGACACCAACGGUCCGCAUGGAGUGCGGGCCGCAGAUGCAGACUAAACGGAGCUACGAUGAAAUAGCUUACCGGGGCGCGGGGUAUGCAGAGACUGUGGGCGAGUCAGGCAGCCCUGUUUGUGCUGGCUUGGAAGGUUUCUCGGCGCGAAAACGCAAGUGCAUCAGCCUUAAUACUGAUGGCUUUGAUGUGAAGCGAGAGAUCUUUGUCCCGUCUAAGAUGUCGUCGUCUGAGCGGCGCUACCUUCGGAAGAGAUUCCGGGCAGAGCUUGAUUCGGUUCGAGAACUCCUCAAGAAGCCAGAGUUUUUGUCCGUCAUGCCUGUCAGCAAAGCACCCGCGUUCUCAUCGUCAGCUGCCCCUCGAGCUAAAAAAGUGCAACGGGGGAGCCAUGUUGUCCGUGGUGCCAAGGGACGCUUCUUGCCGACAAAACCCCGGCCUGAAACGUCUACAGUGUUGCCUGAAGCUACAAUUCUCAAGCAGUGCGAAGCUAUUCUGAAGAAGCUGAUGACUCAGAAAUGUAGUCAUAUUUUUAAUGAUCCAGUAGACGUGGAAAAGCUGAACCUUCCAGAUUAUAAUGACAUUAUCAAGCACCCGAUGGACCUUGGGACCAUCAAGAAGAAGCUAGAUUCUGGUUCCUACGCAAGUCCAUCUGAUUUUGCAGCUGAUGUCAGGCUGACUUUUAACAAUGCGAUAACUUAUAAUCCUCGAGGGCAUGUAGUGCAUGAUCUGGCCAUUCAACUGAAUAAAAUGUUUGAGUCCAGAUGGAGAACAGUUGAGAAGAAGUUAGCUACUGCCGCCACUAAGCCACAUGUUGAGGUUGAUAAGGCCGACUCAAAGAGGAGAAAGACCCCUCCCGUGGAACGCAGUAACUUGUCAAUAGACCGUGUCAGGCCAACUGAGAUUGUGAAGCCAAAGAUGACAAAAGAGGAGAGAGAAACCUUGGGAGACUGCUUAACUUCUUUGGCCGAGGGUCCAGAAGAAUUACCUGGUCACAUCAUUGAUUUGUUACAGCAGUGUAUGGAGAACAAUACAGAGCAGCAUGGGGAUGGAGAGAUAGAGAUUGAUAUCCAUGCACUCAGUGAUGACGUACUAUUUGAACUGAAGAAGCAUGUGGACACGUAUUUGCAAGAAAAAGAUCAUCAGCAGACAAAAUCUCAGCCCUCUGAGAAUGAGGCUGUGAAUGUUUCUUGCCUCAGUCACUCGUCCACAAAUCCCUGCAAAGGUGCUGAGCCUGUUGAGGAGGAUGUCGACAUUUGCGGCAAUGCAUCCCCUAUAUUGAUAGAGAAGGAUCCACAGAUCAGAACUGACAAAUGUGGCAGCCCAAGUAGUUCCAGCAGUGACUCAGGAUCUUCAUCCAGCGAUUCUGACUCAGGCAGUGACAUUGAAAGCGAACCAGAAAAAGUUGUUAGCCCAGCAAAGCUUGCGAAGGGACCAGAACAACCUGCAGAGCAAGUCAAGAGUGAUGAUGUUAUAAGCCCUGUUGAUGCUAACCAGACUGCUGCUGAUGUGGAACUCCGUGAGCAGGACAAUGAAUCCAAGGCUGCACCUGAAGGGGAGAAUGCAAAACCCGACAGGCAACUCUCCCCGGACAAGCUCUUACGAGCAGCUGUUUUGAGGGGCCGUUAUGCUGAUGUAAUUGUGAAAGCUCGUGGGAUUCUCAGCCAGGGUGGAGAUAAACAGGAGGAGCUGGAGAAACUGCAGAAGGAAGAGAAAGAACGGCUUUUGGCUGAAGGCAAUGCAGCUUUGGAAGCCCGCAGAGCUGAAGCUGAAGCUGAAUCUAAGCGUAAGCUGGAGCUUGAGAGGGAAAAGGCUCGUCAGGCCUUGCAGGAGAUGGAGAGAACUGUAGAAAUUAAUGACAUCGUCCAUCCCAAGGACCUAGAAAUGCUUGGUACAGUCACCACCGAACAUAUUGUGAGUUCUGUUGAUGAGACGAGUCCCGAGCAUUCCCAGGAUGGCCUGCCCAGUUUUCUUCCUGGUUCGGGCAGCAUGUUGGAAAAACUUGGACUGUUUAUGAAAGUGGACGAGGAAGAAGAGGAAGAAGAGCCAUGCAGCAAAGGUGCAGAGGACGGAGAAAUCAACUAA
rnacentral:rRNA from 1 species